GACGAACGCGGCGGCGUGCCUAAUACAUGCAAGUAGAACGCUGAAGGAGGAGCUUGCUCUUCUGGAUGAGUUGCGAACGGGUGAGUAACGCGUAGGUAACCUGCCUGGUAGCGGGGGAUAACUAUUGGAAACGAUAGCUAAUACCGCAUAAGAGUAGAUGUUGCAUGACAUUUGCUUAAAAGGUGCAAUUGCAUCACUACCAGAUGGACCUGCGUUGUAUUAGCUAGUUGGUGAGGUAACGGCUCACCAAGGCAACGAUACAUAGCCGACCUGAGAGGGUGAUCGGCCACACUGGGACUGAGACACGGCCCAGACUCCUACGGGAGGCAGCAGUAGGGAAUCUUCGGCAAUGGACGGAAGUCUGACCGAGCAACGCCGCGUGAGUGAAGAAGGUUUUCGGAU
rnacentral:rRNA from 1 species